AAGAGAGCUGGAUGAAGCACUGCAGGCCAGUGAAGGAUGGGGAGACUUACAGGGUACUUCGGGCCAACAGGCACUAGCAGCCUUGCUCCUUUCUGGGUAGGACUCGGCUCUUCUGCUCCAGUCACAGUGGCCUCCAGAUAGAAGGCACGCUUAAGGCAGAGAGUCAACACUGAGUCUAGGAGGCUUCUCUGGAUGUUCUUGCGGUGGACAAAAGAAUCUCCUGCAGGAAUGUUUGAGAGAUGGAUGCAAGACCAGUACUGGAUUUGUGGAGGAACUAAGGGAACACUGCCAACAGGAGGGGAAGGCAUGAACCAGCAGAGAAUUAACAUGAAGGCAAAGAAAGUCAACUUGUUGACACUGUGGGUUAUUUCAAUUUUCCCUCUCAAAAUAUUGAAAAGGAGAAGACUUAUGUUUACCUUUCAAUGCUUUGAAAGACUUGCUUCUUAUUCCUUUUCUUCUUGGCUUGGUUUUCUCUGAGUUUCCAGACACACGGACUGCUUGGGUGUUUUGUCCUUGGCUUGGAGCUCCAGAAAAGACUUCCCAUGGGUGAGGGGCUUCUGCAGCCUUUUUGCGUGUGGCGAGGCUUCCUCAGCAUAUUUGGAAACUAAAAAUAAAAUCUGUUGGCCUCGAGCCUUAACAAGCUUUGCCUGUCUCUGCUCUGCAGCUCCAGCUGAGCGAAGCAGCCCUUCAGCUCCUGGUCUCGUACAGCCAUGGGCAAGUCACAGAAUCUGAGAGGAAGGAUGACACAAGGAUGUGGAUUCUGACAGGCAUGCUUCAUUAAGGGAGUAUCCUUUGAAGACCAUCUACCAUAUCAGGCUUUUUAGCCUGGAUGAAAGCCUAUGG